rnacentral:rRNA from 1 species
UGCCAGCCGCCGCGGUAAUACGGAGGGUGCAGGCGUUAAUCGGAAUUACUGGGCGUAAAGCGCGCGUAGGCGGUUAGUUAAGUCUGAUGUGAAAGCCCGGGGCUCAACCCCGGAAGUGCAUUGGAAACUGGCGAACUUGAGUACGGGAGAGGAAAGUGGAAUUCCGAGUGUAGGGGUGAAAUCCGUAGAUAUUCGGAGGAACACCAGUGGCGAAGGCGGCUUUCUGGACCGAUACUGACGCUGAGACGCGAAAGCGUGGGGAGCAAACAGGAUUAGAUA